GAAACCAACAGGGAUUGCCUCAGUAACGGCGAGUGAAGCGGCAAAAGCUCAAAUUUGAAAUCUGGUUCGCCCGAGUUGUAAUUUGAAGAGGUUGUUUUGGAAGCGGCUCUUGUCUAUGUUCCUUGGAACAGGACGUCACAGAGGGUGAGAAUCCCGUGCGAUGAGAUGCCCGCUUCUAUGUAAAACGUCCUCGACGAGUCGAGUUGUUUGGGAAUGCAGCUCUAAGUGGGUGGUAAAUUCCAUCUAAAGCUAAAUAUUGGCGAGAGACCGAUAGCGAACAAGUACAGUGAUGGAAAGAUGAAAAGAACUUUGAAAAGAGAGUGAAAAAGAAUGUGAAAUUGUUGAAAGGGAAGGACUUGAGAUCAGACUUGGAGGAUUUAUCCUUCUGGGCCAGCAUCAGCUCGAGGGGCGGGAGAAUGGCGCAGGAAAGUAGCUCAUUGAGUGUUAUAGCCUGCGCUGAUGCCGCCACUUUGGGCUGAGGACUGC
rnacentral:rRNA from 1 species